rnacentral:rRNA from 1 species
CCGGCGCACGGGUGAGUAACGCGUAUGCAAUCUGCCCGUUUCAGCGGGAUAACCCGGAGAAAUCCGGCCUAAUACCGCAUGUGGCCGAGGGGAGGCAUCUUCUUUCGGCCAAAGGAGGCGACUCCGGAGACGGAUGGGCAUGCGUGACAUUAGCUAGUUGGCGGGGUAACGGCCCACCAAGGCGACGAUGUCUAGGGGUUCUGAGAGGAAGGUCCCCCACACUGGUACUGAGACACGGACCAGACUCCUACGGAAGGCAGCAG